UACAGGGGUGCAAACGUUGCUCGGAAUCAUUGGGCGUAAAGCGCACGUAGGCGGUCUGUUAUGUCGGAUGUGAAAGCCCUUGGCUCAACUGAGGAAGUGCAUCCGAAACUGGCAGGCUAGAGUACGAAAGAGGAGUGCGGAAUUCCCGGUGUAGAGGUGAAAAUUCGUAGAUAUCGGGAGGAACACCGGUGGCGAAGGCGGCGAAUCGUGGGUCGAUACUGACGCUGAGGUGCGAAAGCG
rnacentral:rRNA from 1 species